rnacentral:rRNA from 1 species
UACGAAGGGGGCUAGCGUUGUUCGGAAUUACUGGGCGUAAAGCGCACGUAGGCGGAUCGUUAAGUCGGGGGUGAAAUCCCGGGGCUCAACCCCGGAACUGCCUUCGAUACUGGCGAUCUAGAGUCCGGAAGAGGUGAGUGGAAUUCCGAGUGUAGAGGUGAAAUUCGUAGAUAUUCGGAGGAACACCAGUGGCGAAGGCGGCUCACUGGUCCGGUACUGACGCUGAGGUGCGAAAGCGUGGGGAGCAAAC